GUCAAACUUAAGCUUUUAAAAGUAAGAUAAUUUUGGCAACCCAGUAGAGGUUGCUGUAGGAUGGGGAGAGACUUAAAAGCCAAGAGACUAACCAGCAAGUUGUUUUAAUAGUUUAGACAUGAGAUGAUGAAAGCAUUCAUCAAAAUGGUGGCUGUAUAAGUGGAAAGGAAAUGGACCUUUGAAAUGUUGCAAAGGUAGAAACAAGACUUAGCAACAGAUUGGAGAUAGAUUGGGUGAGUGAGGGGUGUUGAGGAUACACUGAUGUGAAUCUGCUUGACAUGGAUAUGGUGCUUCUCUCAAUAGGAAAGUUUAGGAAAGGGGAUAUGUUAAGUUUGAGAUGCCCAUGUGUAUGGCUAAGGUUGAAGAUACAGGUUAUAGGAGAUGACGUCAGGAUGUUUGAGGGAACAUCAAUAUAUAUUGAAGAUCCUGAAUAUAAGGGAAGGGUUUAGGGUGGAGAAGAUAGGGAGAGUUCUUAAAAGGAAUGGGUUUUUAAAGAAAUGGCAUAUAUUGUCAAUGAGGUCUUAAUAUGCCUGGAUGGAGUCAGUCUGCAGAGAGGGGAAGUUGCCAAAUGAUACUGCUAGAGGAAGGGUCUAGAAGUGGCAGUGAGGAAUAAAGAGUAAGUUUACUUACUUGCUUGGUCAGUUGGUGUCAGGGCAGGAGAAAAAAGUGCAUAUAAUACUGGAGAGAGUGUCUGAAGCUGGGAUUGGAACUUAGGAAGAUAAAUCUUCCUGACCCCUGGCUCAGCACUCUUAUGUACAGGAUCACAUAGCUGUACCCAGAAGAUGUCAUUUAUUCAUUUGGUUAGUCCCUGCAUCUUAUCGCUCAGAACUUGUUACUCUGUUGGCAGUGUCCUUCCUGGUACUCUAGAUUGAUUAUAAGAGGCAUUUUGGCUUGCUGAUCUUGGACUAGAAAUAAGGAGGGAAUAAUGCUCUCUUCACAAUAUCAAAAGGUAAGGAAUUUCUCCAGUGAUGAAUUUACAGGAGAAAGUGGAUAAGAACUGUACAGAAUGGUUAGGCUUACAUUGUGUUAUAUAGUUUGCCUCACUGGAAAGGUAGGAUAAUAGUUGAGUGUCUGAGAGCAAGGGAACAUUGUUUCCUAUUAAUUUGGCCCACUUAAAAAAAAGUUCUUCAGCAUCACUGGGGAUACCAUCAGUAUGAGGACAGCAUUCUUUGUAUAUUGUCUGAAGAAAUUACUAGUAAUGCACAUGAAACAUGUAUUUAAAUUCCUGUGUCCUAGGAAAAGUGAUUUCAGACUCAUGAAAUGACCCUGAAUGAAGUUUUUCUUAGUUAUUUUCUCUGAAUAAAAAAUUGGGGUGGAAAUUAUACCAAAUGUACUUUAUUGUGAUAGAGCUGAUCUCUUCAAUAGGGAUGUUGCCUAGACUAUAAGAUCACUAAUUAGGUGUCUUUCUCUUGCAACACUCUUUUUCUCUUUGUUGCAUUAGGGAGUGCAUUAUUAAACAGUUGCCUUGGAACAGGUCUAGGGACACAGUCCUCAAAGGUUCAGAGCAAGUUGUAGGACAUCAUCUCCUUAAAGCAAAAGAUUACUCCCCUCAACCUUUUCCCAUCUCUGCCCUCCAUCCCUCAAACCUAGACCCUGCUAAUCACAUGGAUACUUAGCCUCUUGAAACCAUAAAGGCUUCC
ensembl:lncRNA